AAGACAAAACAGGGGUGCCUAAUAAGACAAGGGCUGAGAUUAUACCCAUAGAACCUGAUGCCGGUAAUGCGGCCGAAGGGAGGCAGUGUUAACACGUAA
rnacentral:ncRNA from 2 species